CGAUUAUGGCUCAGAUUGAACGCUGGCGGGAUGCUUUACAUGCCGUCGAACGGCACGGACUUCGGUCUGGUGGCGAGUGGCGAACGGGUGAGUAAUGUAUCGGAACGUGCCCUGGUAGCGGGGAUAACUACGCAGCAGCCAGCUAAUACCGCAUACGCCCUUCGGGGAAAGCGGGGACCGCUUCGGGCCUCGCACUUUUCUUAAACGGCCGAUAUCGGAUUAGCUGGUUGGUGGGGGUAACGGCUCACCAAGGCGACGAUCCGUGGCGGUUUGAGAGGACGACCAGCCACGCUGGGACUGAGACACGGCCCAGACUCCACCGGGGCAGCGAAGUGAAAUUUACUACCCGGACCAAUGGAAACCCUGAUCCAGCCAUCCCGUGUGCGACAGAAGGCCUUCGGGUUAUGCACUUUUGGCAGGAAAAGAAACGGCACAGGAUAACCCCGUUACCUUCGGCGAACCACCUGCAGAAUAAGCACCGGCUGUCACCGUGCAGCAGCCGCAGUAAUGCGCGGGGUGCAAGCGUUAAUCGGAAUUGCCUAGAUAAAGCGUGCGCAGGCGGUUCGGAAAGAAGAUGCUGAAAUCCCCAGAGCUUAACUUUGGAACUGCAUUUUAACUGCAGGCUAGAGAGUGUCAGAGGGGGAGGUGGAAUUCCGCGUGUAGCAGUGAAAUGCGUAGAUAUGCGGAGGAACACCGAUGGCGAGCGGCCUCCUGGGAUCUUUACUGACGCUCAUACUGAAAGCGUGGGGGAGCAAACAGGAUUAGAUACCCUGAUCCACGCCCUAAACGAUGUCAACUAGCUGUUGGGCCUUCGGGCCUUGGUAGCGCAACUAACGCGUGAGUUGACCGCCUGAGAGUACGGUCGCAAGAUUAAAACUCAAAGGGAAUUGACGGGGACCCGCACAAGCGGUGGAUGAUGUGGAUUAAUUCGAUGCAACGCGAAAAACCUUAUAUGACAUGUCUGGAAUCCCGAAGAGAUUUGGGAGUGCUCACAAGAGAACCGGAACACAGGUGCUGCAUGGCUGUCGUCCAGCGAAGCUCGUGUCGUGAGAUGUUGGGUUAAGUCCCGCAACGAGCGCAGCCUUGUCAUUAGUUGCUGCGAAGGGCACUCUAAUGGGACGCGGUGACAAACCGGAGGAAGGUGGGGAUGACGUCUAGUCCUCAUGGCCCUUAUGGGUAGGGCUACACGUCAUACAAUGGUCGGGACAGAGGGUCGCCAACCCCGCGAGGAGCAAUCCCGGCUCCAGUCGUAGUCCGGAUCAUGAUCUGCAACUCGACUGCGUGGUCAGGAAUCGCUAGUAAUCGCGGAUCAGCAUGUCGCGGUGAAUACGUUCCCGGGUCUUGUACACACCGCCCGUCACACCAUGGGAGUGGGUUUGCGGUAGUUAGCCUAACCGUAAGGAGGGCGAUUACCACAGUAGGAUUCAUGACUGGGGUGAAGUCGUAACAAGGUAG
rnacentral:rRNA from 1 species